rnacentral:rRNA from 1 species
UACGGAGGGUGCAAGCGUUGUUCGGAUUCAUUGGGCGUAAAGGGUGCGUAGGCGGCGUGGUAAGUCGGGCGUGAAAUUUCGGAGCUUAACUCCGAAACUGCAUUCGAUACUGCGGUGCUUGAGGACUGGAGAGGAGACUGGAAUUCAUGGUGUAGCAGUGAAAUGCGUAGAGAUCAUGAGGAAGACCAGUGGCGAAGGCGGGUCUCUGGACAGUUCCUGACACUGAGACACGAAGGCCAGGGGAGCAAACGGG